GACGUACGCUGGCGGCGUGCCUAACACAUGCAAGUCGAGCGAGAGACUUCGGUCUCUAGCGGCGGACGGGUGAGUAACACGUGGGUAACCUGCCUCAUAGAGGGGGAUAGCCUUCCGAAAGGAAGAUUAAUACCGCAUAAUGUAUCUCUGGCGCAUGCCACAGAUAUCAAAGGAGUAAUCCACUAUGAGAUGGACCCGCGGCGCAUUAGCUAGUUGGUGAGGUAACGGCUCACCAAGGCGACGAUGCGUAGCCGACCUGAGAGGGUGAUCGGCCACAUUGGAACUGAGAUACGGUCCAGACUCCUACGGGAGGCAGCAGUGGGGAAUAUUGCACAAUGGGCGAAAGCCUGAUGCAGCAACGCCGCGUGAGUGAUGAAGGCCUUCGGGUUGUAAAGCUCUGUCUUUGGGGACGAUAAUGACGGUACCCAAGGAGGAAGCCACGGCUAACUACGUGCCAGCCGCCGCAGUAAUAC
rnacentral:rRNA from 1 species